AAUUAUACCCUUUCCCCAAACUAAACACGCAUACACAACUAGGGUUUCUCUCAUCCUCUCAUUUUGUCCGCCUCUCAUCCUCUGCUCCCUCUCUCUCUCUCUGGCGAUUUAGGGUUUCUGCAUAUCAUUCUCAUCCGCCCCCAUUGUUCUCUCUCUCUACAUUCAUGGCGAUUUAACCUGUCUCUCCGGCGAUUCCAACAGCGGGAGUGGCGAUUUCACUCUCCACUUAUACCCUUUCACUAAAAAAAAGGACACGGGUGAUCUUCACCAGAUCUAGGGUUUCACAUUCAUUCGUUUCAAAACAUUUCAAACAUAUCGUCGCUCCCCUCUCUCUCUCUCUCUCUGGCGAUUUCACCAGAUCUUUGAAGUUUCAAUAGAUGGAUGAAGAAUCUGACCUCCUGGUUCCGAUUUCCGGCUUUUAUUGGCUUUUAUUUCAUCCCUAAUUUCUCUUCCCUUUCGUCUUGCUUCUUACAAAGAGCAAUAUCCAUCUUCAAGAGGUUACUCAUAGGCUUGCUCAGAUUUGACGGAGAAAAGGUACAACUGAGACUUUUAGAUCUGCGAUCCCCAAACCCUCAUAUGGUAAAACUUUUAGAUCUGGUAUGUUUAUAUGCAGGUUGGGGGAUUUUGAUUUCAGGUCAUUUCCGGCUGUUCUAUCUUUAUCGCAAACUUAAAGUUUUGUGGUUUGAUAAUGCGACUCUGGGUUUUUAUUGAUUUUGUUGAGAAUUGCAGUUCAAUGUCUGGACCACUCGAUUGAUUUGAGAGGCCUUAGCACAGAUUAGAGCGGUUGCAGGCAGAGCAUAUACAACAAUCUGAGUGGAUAUAACUGGGUCAAGAAAUCGAGGUUGAAGGUAGAUUUGUAAGGCGGGAUUACUGGAUCUUAAAAAGGCAAACUGGAAAUAUUAGUGUCUUUGGGGAGAUAACGAUCGGGUUGACAAAGAUCAAGAAACAGUUUUGGCUAGGGCAGUUGGAAUGAUUCUUUCUAAUAAUGAUGCUUUUUGGAAUGAGAUUAUCACAGAUCCUCAUCUAUGUAUAGUGUAUUUCGGAAAAAAGAUAUGCAUUGGGCAGCAGAGACGGACCGCUGUGGAGCUGGUCUUAGGGGCUCAGGUGAAAUAUAUAUCGGGUUCAACGCGCCACUAGAAUUAAAAAAGUAUGUACAGAUGUAAACG